rnacentral:rRNA from 1 species
UAUUUUAAAGAGAGUUUGAUCCUGGCUCAGGACGAACGCUGGCGGCGUGCCUAAUACAUGCAAGUCGAACGAACGGAGGAAGAGCUUGCUCUUCCAAUGUUAGUGGCGGACGGGUGAGUAACACGUGGGCAACCUGCCUGUAAGUUGGGGAUAACUCCGGGAAACCGGGGCUAAUACCGAAUGAUAAAGUGUGGCGCAUGCCACGCUUUUGAAAGAUGGUUUCGGCUAUCGCUUACAGAUGGGCCCGCGGUGCAUUAGCUAGUUGGUAGGGUAAUGGCCUACCAAGGCAACGAUGCAUAGCCGACCUGAGAGGGUGAUCGGCCACACUGGGACUGAGACACGGCCCAGACUCCUACGGGAGGCAGCAGUAGGGAAUCUUCCGCAAUGGACGAAAGUCUGACGGAGCAACGCCGCGUGUAUGAAGAAGGUUUUCGGAUCGUAAAGUACUGUUGUUAGAGAAGAACAAGGAUAAGAGUAACUGCUUGUCCCUUGACGGUAUCUAACCAGAAAGCCACGGCUAACUACGUGCCAGCAGCCGCGGUAAUACGUAGGUGGCAAGCGUUGUCCGGAUUUAUUGGGCGUAAAGCGCGCGCAGGCGGUCUUUUAAGUCUGAUGUGAAAGCCCCCGGCUUAACCGGGGAGGGUCAUUGGAAACUGGAAGACUGGAGGGCAGAAGAGGAGAGUGGAAUUCCACGUGUAGCGGUGAAAAAUGCGUAAGAAUAAUGUGGAGGAACACACCCAGUGGGCGAAAGGCGACUCUUCUGGUCUGUAAAACUGAACGCCUGAGGCGCGAAAAAAGCGUGGGGAGAGCAAAACAGGAUUACGAUACCCUGGUAGGUUCCAAGCCGUUAAAAACGAUUUUGAGUGCUUAAAGUGUUAGGGGGUUUCCCGCCCCCUUAGUGCUGCAGGGCUUAAAAACGCAUUAAGCAACUACCGCCCGGGGGAGUACGGACCGCAAAGGUUGAAAAGCUCAAAAAAGGAAUAUGAGCGGGGGCCCGCACAAGCGGGUGGAAGCCAUGUUGGUUUAAUUCGAAGCAAACGCGGAAAAGAACCUUACCAGGUCUUGACAUCCCUUUGACACUUCUGGAGACAGAAGCUUUCCCUUCCGGGGACAAAAGUGACAGGUCUGGUUGCAUGUGUUGUCGUCAAUCCAGCUCGUGUCGUAGGAGAAUGUUGGGUUAAGAAGUCCCCGCAACGAGCGGCAAAAACCCUUCGAUUUUAGUUUUGCCAGCAUUUAGUAAUUGGGGCACUUUUUUUAUAAUUUGCCCUAAAGGUUGAACUGCCCGGUGCAAGCCUGCAGGGAAGGUGGUGGGGAUGACGUCAAAAUCAUAUCAUUGCCCCUUAUGGACCAUGGAGACUACAACACGUGGCUACAAUUGGAUAAAGUUACAAAAGAGGUACGCGAAAAGGUUCCGCGAAGGUGGAAGCUAAAUCCCAUAAAAACUAUUCUCAAGUUUCGGGAUUGUAAGCUUGCCAGACUCCCCUUACAUGAAAGCCGGAAUCCGCUAGUUAAAAUUCGUGGAUCACAGCAUGCCACGCGGUGAAUAGCGUUUCCCGGCGCCUGUUGUACAACACCCCACCCGUCACCCACCACGAGAGUUUGUAACAACCCGACAGUCGGUUAAGGGUAAGCCUUUAAUGGAGCCAGCCGGUCCCGAAGGUGGGACAGAAUAAAUUGGGUAGGGAAGUUCGUAAAACAAGGUAGCCGUAUGCGGAAGGUGGCGGCUUAGGCAUCACACUCCCUUCUAAGGAA